CUCCGAUGGACCUUCUGAAACGCACCGUUUCAUUUUUCUAUAUAAAAAAAAAAUAAAAAUAACACCAACACAAAUAUAAUAAUAACCCACCGACCCCACCCACCAAUUCUCUCACAUUCUAGUUUCUUCUUUCACUUUCUCUACUUCCUCCCCUGUUUCACGGUUCUUCCAUUUCCCCAAUUUCUAUUCAUCUUUCAAACACAAAUGUCAGCCAUGCACUCAAAAGAAAAUUAACAAACCUCUAUUAUAAGUUCCUCAUACUUCUACAAAUAGUAUUGAGUAUAAUUUUGGGAUUAGGGUUAGUGCUAUAAGAGAGGAGAUGAGUACCCACUCUUUGAAAGUUACUUAUUGGGACUUUUGAGAUUCGACAGUUGAUGCUUUAUCUGCUACUCCGGGAGUCGUUAGAGAGAAAAACUAGCCGGUCUUCAUAGUUAUUCAAAGUCAGCUGAGUAGGGGUUUCUAGCAGAUAUUGAGAGUCGUCGGUAUCAUUCUUUUGGCUUGCCGGACUAGUAUUAGUUCGUGCGCCGGUCACGAUUGGAAUUGGGUCGUGACAAAGUUGGUAUCAGAGCUCGGUUGUAGGUCCAAAUAGCUGCAGACAUAGAGUGAUAAUAGAUUUUUGCUAGUAAAUUGUGAACCGCGGCACUAUUUACUUGCAAGAAGCUAUUAGUACUCUAUGGUAGUCUUUGUCUCACUUGUUGUCCAAUCCUAUCAUCUCUCUUUUGGUAUUUGAUUUGUCUCACUCUGUUUGUCGUCUUGUCUAAUACUCGGUAAAUUUCCUUUCGUUUGGUGAGUAUGCCACCCAACACUAGGAUUACCACUAGAAGCGAAGUUUGUUCCUUAAGACCCUAGUCAAAGAGGUCGUGAUUCAGUCGUACUCUUUGUCGACAAACGUGGCCUGGUUGCAGUAGUAGUUAGUGUUGAGGUUCCUAGAGGAAGACAAAGAUUGAUAUUGGUAUUGCAACAACUUGUUGUGACUGUUGUUGAGAAGUAGCAAGAUAUUCUAAGACAAAUAAAUCUUGAUGGUUCACAAGUAAUUAGUCAAGGUGAGUACUAGGCAAUAACCCCAUCUAGAGAGAUUAAUGUCGAUAUAGAGAAAUUCAUGAAACUUAAACCUUUACUUUUUCCAAGUCUAGUGUGUGUGGGGAUCCACUAAAAUUCAUUGACUGUCUAAAGAGAUUAUAAAAGGCAUUAGGAUGCUCAGAUUUAAGGGCGGUGAAGUUGACAUCAUUUAAGUUAGAUGGUCUGAUAUAUAACUAGUUUAAUACACUUACACAUUGAAACAAUAGGGAUCACCUUCGUUUGCAUGGAGUGAGAUUUCUCAAUUGUAUGUGGCUCGUUUUCUUCUAGAAACUGUUAGAUUAGCUUACAAUUAUGAGCGAUCGAAACAAAUUGAAAACAUGUUAGUUACAGAGUACAAUGUCCAUUUUUACAUAGCUUUCAAGCCACACUCCUCACCCUACUUUAAGAAGGAUGUGUGUCCAUGGGUUCAUUAAACGAUUAAGAGAAUAUUUAUUUAGAUUUGUGGUUGGUUUAAUUGUACUAUUUUACUGAGGUUUCAAGAUUGACACUUACUAUUAAGCAACAACAAAAGGUAAGUGAAGUAAUAGACAAUUUUUUUGCAAGGAAUGAGUUGAAUGAUCAUAUAUUAUUCUUAUCGUGGUGGUGAAGUUAUAUUUGGUGAUUAGGGAUAACAAAUAUCAGUAUCGUGAGAGCGAUAGUUCUGGUAGACGAACUUUUGGGGAACAGUGCAGAAUCGUAGAUUAGAUCCUAGGACAUAAAGAUAAUUAACAUUUCCUUAGAGUAAAUUUGAUUCUACGGUGGUUGAUUUCAAUCUGAAAAUUUUCAAAGAUGGUAAAAUGUGCUUUCAAUGUGGUCGAGUAGUACAUAACAAGAGGGAUUGUCCUUGGCAGUUGCGAUACAACUAUUAUCUAGUCAUGAAUUGGUCGUUCUUCCAUCAUUUCACCCAAGUCUAUUAUAACAAGGUAGUGAGAUCCAUUUUACAUAUUGUUGCCAUGUUACUCAACUUGUGCUAAAAAUAAAAUAAAAUAAUAAUAAGCAGGGUUGGAAUUGCUAGAGAAACUAUCAUAACGUUGGUUGAGUUUAACUAUGCUAGUGAGAGAUUGUGAGGGAUGAAUAUAAUUGCCGCUAUAGGCUAUAGCCAUUUUGCUUAUAGAAAACCAACUAAAAUAUAAGUCUGAUCUUGAAACCAGUUGCAACUUACUCAUGGCCAGUACAUAGUCAUAGACUACAUAAGUCAAGAAAUUUACCAAAGAAUUCUCGUAAGGAUGAAUCAUUAUAAAAUCACAUAUAAAGAUGAAACAUGGUGAAAUUUGAGAGAAACUGAAAUUUUGAACACAAGGAAAAUGCAUAACUUGAAAAUCAAACAUCUGUUUGUAUCAAAUGUGUACAGCAUAAUAUAAUUACUAAUUAGUAAUUACUAAUUAAAACUAAAAUGUUUCUUCUUAAUUCUGAAAUCCCCUAAACAAGCCAAGACAGCGAGACGCCAGCAGAAAAAAAAAAAAAAAAAACUAUACAUAGUUCCAAAAGCGUGUGAGUUUCUUGAUGUUUUUCCUGAAGAACUUCUUAGAUUGCCACCUGAUAGGGAUAUUGAAUUCUCUAUAGCCUUGGUUCCUAACCUUCAACUCACAUUUGUACCUCUUCGUAGAAUGGCCUAGCCGAACUUUAGAUUUUAAGGAAACAACUACAAGGUUUUCUCAAAUAAGAGCUUUACUCGGCCAAAUUCCUUUCCUUCGGAAGCAUUGGUAUUGUUUGAAAAGAAAAGAGAUGAACCCAUGUGAUUAGGUGUGGUAUAGAGAAUCAAAUAAGACGGUAGUAACGAAUAAAUAUAGGUUACUCUGAAUUAACGAGUUAGUUGAUCAAAACAUUAAGGAGCUAAGUGUUUUUGUCUAAGAUUGAUUUGCGGUCUAGGCAUCACUAGUUGAAGGUUAAGAGGGGACUUAUUUUAAAGAAAACUCUUUACAUAUGCUAUGAGCAUUUUGAAAUUCUGGUUAUGUCUUUUGAGUUUACUAAUGCUCUAACAUCUUUAUGGAUAUUUGAUAGCGUUAGGAUAACGGUCAUAAACCUGGGCGUUUUCAAAUCAAGAUUGUAUUGAAGACCAAAAAAAAAAAAAUUCUUUUCAAGUCUCAAAAUUCUACCUUCUCUUAUGAGUCGCCAAAAUUAAAAAAAAAAAAAAAAAAAAUUACUUAUCUGUGAAUUCCUAAGCAAUAGAAACAGACGAAAAACCACCUAUUAACUCUGCAUUGGUUAGUAGCUUCUAGGUUAUUGACAUAUUUAUCGAUAAAAUUUAGGCCUUGAUAAGGAUAUUAUUAAACUUGAAAUUUAAUAUUCCUUGAUUUAGGAAUACAUUUGGAUUGAGUAUGUCUAGGCUUGGUUGGUAGACUAUUAAGAUGUAAAUUAAAUAUGAAGCAGGUGGUUUAUAUAACGUGAAUAUUAGAAUGAUGCCCUGUGAUAGUUAUUCAAGGUGAUUAACUUAUGGAAUGAAUGAAACAAGUAUUUUUAUUUAUUUAUAAGCUCUUGAAGACCAAUUUUUAAACCUCUCAAUACUUCUUACUAUAUGUUUCUUGGGUUAUUAGAUCACAAGUUGAUAAAUUGAAAUAGUAUAGAGUAAAUUAGGUGAGUAAAUUAGGUCAUAAACUACUUACCAAACAAAUCAGAGUUGCGCAGCGGAAGUAUGAUGAGUGGAAAGGAAAUAAAAAUAAAAAAAUAAAAAAAUAAAAGAAAGAAAAAAGAAAUAAACAAUUUGGUUAUUUUGGUUUGCGAGAGCAGAGAAGCUGCUUUUGAACUUGAUUUUGAAAAGCAGGUUAGGGUCUGUGUGGGUCAUGUAGCAAAUGUAUCUUUUCGGUAGGAUGAUUUGAAGUUGGCUAGUCUAAACUAGUACGCCUAGAGUUGAUUCAAGAUAUCAUUGAAAAGGUUAAGAUCAUCUAAGAGUGUUUAAUGACAACUUCAAGUAGGAAAUUUUUUACUCUAAUCAGAGGUGUUUCCCUUAGGGUUCGAUGUGGGCUAACAUGUAUUCCUACAUGUUUCGCCAAUGUAGAGUGUAUUGUGGUUUGACAAAAGUGGGAAAAUUAGUUCAAAGUUCAUUGGAAUGUUAGAGUUUUGGUAGAGAUUCAAAAACUUGCAACUUAUCGUUUGGUACUUCCAUCGGAUAUCUCAAGAGUUUGUCUUGUCUUUCAUAUAUUUAAACUUCGGAAGCACAUUAUACCUUUCUCGUGUGAGUAGUGAUGAAUAUGUGUAGUUAGACGAGAAUUUGUCUUGCAUCGAUCAUUUGUCAACUACAAUAGAUAAGAAAGUGAGAUGUUUAUGCUCAAAAUAUAUUGUUUCAGUAUAGGUCCUUUGGAAAUAAUCGUCAGGUGAAUAAGCAACUUUGGAGCCGGAGGUGAUCAUGUGAGCAAAAUAUCCAUACUUAUUUGAAAUCAAAGUUAGUCGUAUAAAUUCGAGGACGAAUUUUCUUUAAGGGGGAAGACUGAAACGCACCGUUUCAUUUUUCUAUAUAAAAAAAAAAAAAAAAAAUAACACCAACACAAAUAUAAUAAUAACCCACCGACCCCACCCACCAAUUCUCUCACAUUCUAGUUUCUUCUUUCACUUUCUCUACUUCCUCCCCUGUUUCACGGUUCUUCCAUUUCCCCAAUUUCUAUUCAUCUUUCAAACACAAAUGUCAGCCAUGCACUCAAAAGAAAAUUAACAAACCUCUAUUAUAAGUUCCUCAUACUUCUACAAAUAGUAUUGAGUAUAAUUUUGGGAUUAGGGUUAGUGCUCUAAGAGAGGAGAUGAGUACCCACUCUUUGAAAGUUACUUAUUGGGACUUUUGAGAUUCGACAGUUGAUGCUUUAUCUGCUACUCCGGGAGUCGUUAGAGAGAAAAACUAGCCGGUCUUCAUAGUUAUUCAAAGUCAGCUGAGUAGGGGUUUCUAGCAGAUAUUGAGAGUCGUUGGUAUCAUUCUUUUGGUAGGCUUCCUUGAUGAAAUGUUAUUUUGUAUAUAUAUAUAUUUUGAGUUGAUCGAAUAUCUGCAGCUAUUUUGAGUCUAGGAAUCUUUUGUGUUGAAAUGUAUAAAUUUAAACAUGUAUAUUUUGAAACUUCUGACUUAAUGAUGUAUAUGCUGCAAACAGGAUUUAUUUUGAUUUGGAAAUAUUAUAUUUAUUGUUUGUUAAAUUCGGUCAUUAGGCUUGCCGGACUAGUAUUAGUUCGUGCGCCGGUCACGAUUGGAAUUGGGUCGUGACCCCUUCCUCCGUCGCCUUACAUCGGUGCUUACUCAUUCCAACUACCAUGCUUUGGCUCGUUCAAUGCAACGCGCACUUGGUGCCAAAAACAAAUUCAAUUUUGUCGAAGGAACCAUUCCAAUACCCAGAUCCGUUUUAUCCAAGUUUAAAGGCUUGGUCUCGAUGCAAUAUGUUGGUACAUUCUUGAUCAUGAAUUCGAUGGAAGAAUCGAUUUCUCAGAGCAUUGUAUUUGUAGAUAAUGCCUUGGAUGUUUGGACUGAAUUGAAAGAAAGUUUCUCGCAUGGCGAUUUCAUUCUGAAGUACAUGUAUAACAAAUCCUAGUUGGAUAUCAAAAAAGUGAAGGAUAAUCUUAUAUAUCUUUCCCUUUCAUCUCUGCGAAAACCCUUAUCCCUAAUCUUCUCUUCUCACUGAUACUCUGUUUCCUGUUUCUGCAGUCCUCCAUCGCCUGAGAAGAGCCCACCCCUUUCUGCUUCACUGCCGCCUCUGUUCCACCACCUCUAUCUCCAGCGGCGACAGCCCCACCAAUUCCAACUAUCUCCCCUCUUCCUUGAUCAGAGACAAUAUCAUAUCUCCCCCCUCCGAUUCCAAACACAGCGUGUUGGAGCAACUUCAGAGUAACUUCUCUCGAAGAGAUAAUCUGUCAGCCGAGCUGACCUACUCCAGAGUAACUUCUCUCGAAGAGAUCUUCAACAGCUUCUCCGACAUGCCUCCCGUGCUAGAUGAAAGGGGACUUGGCAAGUGGAAUGAAUUAAAUAGUAGACUGAUAUGGUUGAGGCUCAUGGAGCUCAAAGAAGCUGAGUUGUUUUCCAUAAGGAGCAACAAUGAAGUACUUUCCAAGAAGGGUUCUGGACAUAAAUGGAAAUUGCGGGAGCGGACAGAGCCGCCACCUGCCGGACCUGUUUACAUACACUGGUUGAAGCUGCCGCAGACUGCAAUUUCAAACCAUGCUUCCCUCAUUGCAUCGAGAACCUCCCUGCCAGAUCAACACGGGGAUUACUAUUGUUAUUAAUUAUUAUCAUGCUGAGUAGAAUUUCAAUCUUGAGGAGCACUCUCUUUUCAACCGUCUCUUAUUUUGAUCGGUUUAAAUUCAUGAAGAUCCCACUAAAUUGAAAGUGAGUGCCAUUUUUUAGUUGAUCCCACGUGAAGUUCAACCAAUCAAUGAAAUAGUGUUGGAAAGAGAGUGUUCCUAGCAUUUCUCUUUCAAUAUUUAUCAUGUUAAUUUUAGUUGAUCGUUUAUCAUGUUGUCUUGCUUUGUACAUUUAAUUUAUCAUGUUGUCUUGCUUAUACAUUGAUGUUUAUUGCCCUUUUGUAUCCUCACUCAAUGUUAAUGAUGCACUUGUGGCAGCUGGUUUUCUC